rnacentral:tRNA from 1 species
GCCGGGAUGGGGUAGCCUGGCUAUCCUGUGGGACUGUGGAUCCUGAGACCCGAGUUCAAAUCUCGGUCCCGGCC